UCAGAUUGAACGCUGGCGGAAUGCUUUACACAUGCAAGUCGAACGGUAGAGGGGGCAACCCCUUGAGAGUGGCGAACGGGUGAGUAAUAUAUCGGAACGUGCCCAGUCGUGGGGGAUAACGUAGCGAAAGUUACGCUAAUACCGCAUACGAUCUACGGAUGAAAGCGGGGGAUCGCAAGACCUCGCGCGAUUGGAGCGGCCGAUAUCAGAUUAGGUAGUUGGUGAGGUAAAGGCUCACCAAGCCAACGAUCUGUAGCUGGUCUGAGAGGACGACCAGCCACACUGGAGCUGAGACACGGUCCAGACUCCUACGGGAGGCAGCAGUGGGGAAUUUUGGACAAUGGACGCAAGUCUGAUCCAGCCAUUCCGCGUGCAGGAUGAAGGCCCUCGGGUUGUAAACUGCUUUUGUACGGAACGAAAAGGUCUCUCUUAAUACGGGGGGCUCAUGACGGUACCGUAAGAAUAAGCACCGGCUAACUACGUG
rnacentral:rRNA from 1 species